AUAGCUCAGUUGGUAGAGCAACUCAUUCGUAAUGAGUAGGUCGCGGGUUCAAGUCCCACUAUCGG
rnacentral:tRNA from 1 species